rnacentral:lncRNA from 1 species
UUGCGUAUUUCUUUUAAAAAAAAGUUUCAGAUCUCGUUAUUAUUUUUUAAUUCGAUUAUUAAAAUUGGACGAUAUUAAUUUUGAUACUGUGUAUGAUAUUGCAUUCGGGAAGGCCAUAGUUUUAGAGCAUAGGCACGAUGAUCAUGAGAAUUUGGAAACUAAAAGGAAAAUAUGAAAUGGGGUGGUCGGCGUUUGGCGGUGUGUGGCGGUGCAGC